ACACUGACGCUGAGGCGCGAAAGCGUGGGUAGCAAACAGGAUUAGAUACCCUGGUAGUCCACGCCGUAAACGAUGUCGACCAGCCGUUGGACCCCUUGAGGGUCUGGUGGCGCAGUUAACGCAAUAAGUCGACCGCCUGGGGAGUACGGCCGCAAGGCUAAAACUCAAAUGAAUUGACGGGGGCCCGCACAAGCGGUGGAGCAUGUGGUUUAAUUCGAUGCAACGCGAAGAACCUUACCUGCCCUUGACAUCCUGCGAACCCGGAAGAGAUUCCGGGGUGCCUUCGGGAACGCAGAGACAGGUGCUGCAUGGCUGUCGUCAGCUCGUGUUGUGAAAUGUUGGGUUAAGUCCCGUAACGAGCGCAACCCCUAUCCCUUUUUGCCAGCGGUCCGGCCGGGAACUUCAGGGAGACUGCCGGUGACAAACCGGAGGAAGGUGGGGACGACGUCAAGUCAUCAUGGCCCUUACGGGCAGGGCUACACACGUGCUACAAUGGCCGGUACAAAGGGUUGCGAAGCGGCGACGUGAAGCCAAUCCCGCAAAGCCGGCCUCAGUCCGGAUCGGAGUCUGCAACUCGACUCCGUGAAGUCGGAAUCGCUAGUAAUCGUGGAUCAGAAUGCCACGGUGAAUACGUUCCCGGGCCUUGUACACACCGCCCGUCACACCAUGGGAGUGGACUGCACCAGAAGUGGUUAGCUUAACCUUCGGGAGAGCGAUCACCACGGUGUGGUUCAUGACUGGGGUGAAGUCGUAACAAGGUAACC
rnacentral:rRNA from 1 species